GGGACGCGGGCGGCCUCCUGAACGCGCGAGGGGGAAUACAACUCCGUGGGCUGAAAGCCAUCUUGAUACAGCUCAUACUCUUCAUCAACGAGCAUUUCUCUCUCUUCACCCAUUUCCUGCGAUCUAGGAGUCAGAAACUCAUGCAUUUCCCAGGCCUCCUUGCUGUUGUCGACCUCUUUUUGUUGGGACUGGAAAGACUUCCCCAGAUCUAGAAACGGUUUGUCCACAAGUUCUUCUUUGAAAUGGGGUUCAUCUCUAAAUCCCUGGAAACAAAAGGCGCAAAAAAAUUUUAGACUACACCUGUUUUAAAGGCUGCGCUCUGCACAGUAACUGAAAAAUUAACCAGCGGCAUAAAUGACUACACUCCGUGCUGACGCGUGGCUCCCGUGAACAGCUCCCCACCGCGAACGCAAGCUCACCACCGCACAGCCUCUGCCCAGGAAAGCGAGAAACAACCAAGUGAGAGGCAGAAACCUGCCCUGGGCAAGGUAUUCCUUAAAGAAAAAGAUCACUUUCUCAGGAAGAGAUCUUAAUAUUAAGAAAUGUGGUCAAGAGAUUCCUGGUAAAUUUCUAACACGAUCUGCUGUCUAACAUCACAUAUUUAUGAAGAGGACCGAAGGUAAAAACAGUCAUGGGUGCUCGUUAAUAAAGCACACAUUGUUAAACUACAAUUACACCAAUCUUUUCAAGUAGAGGGAGCUAUUACACAGGAAGAGAACAGAAAAGAACCCAAAAAAGUGCAGCGGGCUAUCAGCAGGCAAUCAGAGCAGCAAUAUAAAGGAGCUGUCUAUUUUGUCACCGGCAACCAUGAAUCACGACACACUUUCCAUCCUGAAAUAUGAAACCAUUACAUUUUAAGUUUGACACGCUAAUAAAUAAGCUGUACAAUUACGUCCUUCAUUUGGGAUGUCAGUGUUUGAUGAAAGGCUUUUUUACUUGGGGGGAAGGGAAACUACCUAUUAGCUUAUUCCCCUCAUGAAAUGCGCAAGCAGCGAGCACUACUUCAUAUUAAUAUUACUACACUUUCUCAGAGAAAAUUGCAUCUGUAAAAUAUACCAAAAGCAAAUAAAUGAUCUCACUGGGAUGGCGAGAGCAAUCUCUGCAGUUUCGUGUAACGCUGAGUCAAAAAGUACUAUUUUUAACCUAAACAGGUGAGUAGCUUUUCAAAGUGCAACCGGUUGAAAUGAUAAUUAGAAACAUUGCAAAGGAAGAUUAACCAGGGAAUAAUGGAAACGGAAAGAUUAGUAGAUUUCCCUUAAUACAGAAAAGUCGUGGUGGGCACAGUCUUGCUUAGACCCCGAAUCAGCACCAAGUGUGCCUGCUCACGAAAACGUGCUCAGACCUCCAGUCAUUCCACACUCAGUCUCCCUGGAGGAGAGAACCCCACGGUAGCUUCCUUCUCACUUAGAAAAAGACACACCCUUCCUCCUGGAGACGCCCCACCAAGGGUGGUCAGGGCUGGGUCUUCUAGGGUGCCUUUUCGGACUGGUUUCCCGUGUGCCUGAACGAUGUUGCUGGGAUGAGCAACAGUCACUUGCUUUCACCGUCCUCUCGGAGCAGCCGCCCCACGGAAAAACGGCAGCUGCCACAGCCCAUUGGGGCGGCCGCUCUCCUUGAGGCUCUGCUGCACCCAAAAUGCUCCAGAACCAGCCUGACCCAGGCUGCUUCUCCUCAGAAAAGUCUGUUUUCUGAAAAAACAGCCCACAAUAUCAUACCCGUGUUAUAUCAAACAAAAUGUUAUAAAGACCUUUCUCAAGACUCCAUCCAACUCCUAGACCCCAUGUCAAGUUCUCAAGUUCCCAUCAGUUUUUACCACCUUUAUCAUAAUUUAAAAAAUCUCUAAUUUUUCUUGUUUUGGUAAAUAACACUGCAAGGAACACUGUAUUCAAGAAUCAAGAUGUUGUUUUAGACCAAACAGCCAGCAGACGGCACUCAAGACCAACCAUAGACACCAGAAACAGCCUCUCUUACCACGCAAGCCCUUCUCCUCUUCUGAAGGGCUGUUUCCUCUCUAUUCAAAAGCUUUGUAUUAUUAUACGUGUUCCAACAGCCUGCCAUAUGUUGGCUUCAAUUCGACCAUUUAUGAAAGUUGUGCCCUACAGCUCUCAAAAAUACAUCAAACUCCUACCAUCAAUUAACAGCAGCCAACUCCCAUCAGAACACCACCCAGAAGAGAGGAGAUCUGACCUGAAUCCCCUUGGUACCCAGCUCUGAAACCCCAGACGGCCCAUCCAGGUGCCUCGUC